CACAUCUCAGGAUGGGGCAAUAUUUGGUGAGAACCAUAUUGGAUUCUACCAAAUUACAAAUAUAUUCCAGGUUGGCCUGAUCACUCACUCACCACUCCCUGCAACUCCAUGGAGAAGAUAUAAGCUGUCAAAAAUGUAUUUGUGAGUCUGAUGAGCUCUUUCACCCAGGUGACAGGGGUUUCUGCCAUAUUAAUAUUCUUCUUCUUCUCCACCUUUUGUGUUUCAAUGCUGGGCCUGGAGAAGGCAGGGACCUUGGCUCUUCCACGGUGGCUGUUCAUCAGCACUCACACAUCCACCACACCGGUUUAGUCGCACGCUGGAAGUAGAGACGGGGUUUCACCGUGUUAGCCAGAACGGUCUUGAUCUCCUGACCUCAUGAUCUGCCCGCCUCGGUCUCCCAAAGUGCUGGGAUUACAGAUGUGACCGAGCAAGAGUUUGUCAAUUCAGAGGUAGACCCCAGAUGGUGGGAAUCAAAGGAGGGAAGUGAGGGGCACACGGGCCUCUGGGGGCUGAGGCAGGAGACAGCUCUCUGCCUUUCUCAGAGGACCUUUGGAGAUGUGAAUGAAAACAGCUGUCUGAACAAGUGGUACCCUAACUAGCGCGGCUGUGAGUCUGAAGCUUGAAAUGGGGAAGUUGGUCAGCAUGGGUGAGCUAUGCAGCCCAGGUGAAGGGAUCCUCAAGCAGCAGCCUCUGCCUUUUUGUCUUCUCCUUUUCACGGAGAUGACAAGAAUCACCCCAGGACUUAUCUUCUGAGGUGCUCAGCUGUGGUCCCAGUGCUGCUUUGGUCACUGCUAUGGCGGGUGGAAGCAGGAUGGGUGAAGUCAUUCUGGAGAACAAGGUAAAUUAUAGCCAAAUUAUAUAUUUGCAUAUGCCAUGACCCAGCAUCCCAAUAUAUGCCAGAGAAACUCUUGCACAGAUUCAUGUGG
rnacentral:lncRNA from 10 species